rnacentral:lncRNA from 1 species
GCAAGAUGGCUACCUGAAGGAGAGGCCCCCGGCGGAAAGUUUGUUGUGGGAUUUUUGAGUAGUCGCGCUGGAAGCUUGAAGACCCAGGGACCCCAGGGACCCCAGGGACCGGAAGAAAUCACAUUGCCUGCUUGGAAAGACGAGGUAGCAGCUUGCCCCAGCCCAAACCCAGAGCGGCUCCGGAGUUGAGCUGCUCACACCCCAAGCUGUCUGUUUAUAUGGAGUGCCUGGAGGGCGUCUGCCAUGAGUCUGUUGCUAACACCACUAACCAGGAGAACUGGCUGGCUGGGGAGAAGACACUAACCCUGCUUGGCUAG